rnacentral:snRNA from 1 species
GGAUGGGAGGGCCAUCCGUCUGCAACGUCCAUCACCCCACUCAGCAGCAGGGGUGACAGCUCAUGGGGCUGGCCGCACCGGUUGUCCUCUACCCUCCCUCGCCGUCCCUUGUGCAUCCCUCCUGAAGCCGUGUGUGAGUGGAAGAGAAUGGCCUUCCCGAUCUAAGCGCCAACUCUCCUUCAUUCUUCAGUGAAACGUAUACUGGUAGCUGUGUGCCUUGAUUUGACCCUCCAAAUGUGCUCUCAAAACCAAAUAGGUGGUGGGGACUGGAGUGAUAUCACAGCAGGUAGGGCGUUUGCCUUGCAUGCGGCUGACC